rnacentral:rRNA from 1 species
CACGUAGGGCGCAGGCGUUGUCCGAAAUUAUUGGGCGUAAAGAGCUCGUAGGCGGCCUGUUGCGUCUGCUGUGAAAACCCGGGGCUUAACCCCGGGCCUGCAGUGGAUACGGGCGAGCUAGAGGCAGGUAGGGGAGAAUGGAAUUCCCGGUGUAGCGGUGAAAUGCGCAGAUAUCGGGAGGAACACCGGUGGCGAAGGCGGUUCUCUGGGCCUGACCUGACGCUGAGGAGCGAAAGCGUGGGUAGCGAACAGG